AACGAACGCUGGCGGCAUGCCUAACACAUGCAAGUCGAACGAGACCUUCGGGUUUAGUGGCGCAAUGGUGCGUGACCCGUUGAAACAUGCCCUUAAGUCCGCAAUAACUUCCCGGAUGAGGUGCGAAUACCGGCGCUUAUCCUCCAACCAAAGAUUUAGCGCCUUUGGAUGGGCCUGCGUUGGAUUACCUUGUUGUUAGGGUAAAAGGCUACAAAGGGUACGAUCCAUAGCUGGUUUGAGAGGCUGCUCCGCCACACUGGUACUGAGACGCGGCCCGGAAUCCUACGGGAGGCAGCAGUGGGUAAUAUUGGAAAAUGGGCGAAGGCCUGAUGCAGCAAUGCCGCGUGAGUAAUGAAGGUCGUAGGGUUGUAAAGCUCUUUUACACGGGAUGAUAAUGACAGUACCAGGAGAAUAAGCACCGGCUAACUCCGUG
rnacentral:rRNA from 1 species